GACGUCAGUGGCUGGGGCAUCUAUCUUGAGCUGGAGUCACCCAGCCUGGCCAAGAACUGGAAAAGUCUCUUUGGGGAUUUGGACCCAUUUCUGAAAAGCUCAUGAAAACCACUUUGCCUUGGACUCCUGCCCCCAGCCGGAGCCCUCCAUAUCCAUUUAACCCAAAUCCCCAACUCCAGGGAUGACUACAGGUUGGGGGAGCCCCGAGAGCAAGGGAGGUGAGGAAACUGAUGUCCAGAAAGAAGCAGGCAUCAGUGGAGACACUCCUAGCCCUGCUGCCCUCUCCUCACUGCACACACUUCCAGGUUCAGACAAACCGGAAAGGAAACCCACCAUGCAGGACUGUCCAUGUGAUGGCUCUUCCCGUGGCUCCAUUUCUAAGCGCCUCCGAGGACCUCAUCGUGGCCCAGGACCGCAAGCCAAGGCCACCCCAGUGUCCUUACCAUCCUGGGAAUGGGAGGAGUCAGGCCCAGCCUUGUCCUGUCUGCCCCCCUGGAAGCCUUCCCUGAGCACUGGCCUCUUAUUUACCCGUCUUUGUCUCUGGCUUGUUGGUAUCUGUCCCUUGUCUGAUUAGGGAACGCCUGAGGUCAGGAUCUUUGCCUCCCCAAUCAGAUUGUCAGGCAGGAGUGGGGGUAGUGCAGAUGCUGGGUCAUUUCUACAUGUGAGACCAAAUAGUGGUCCUGUUUAAGUUGAUCCCCUUGAAAGAAAAUUCUGGAAAAGCUCCUCAGAUGCACAGAUACACAGAAUCAGACCUUGGGCAAAGUGUGUAGUUGUGCUUUUGAAGCUGUGCAACCUUGGACAAACUACUUGACUUCUCUGUGCCUCAGUUUCCUUAUUUGUGAAAUGAGGGGUAGUCAUGAUACCUUCCCCAUGAGGUUGAUGGGAGGAUUGAGUUAAUAUUUAUAAAGCAUUUCAGACAGUGCCAGAGA
rnacentral:lncRNA from 1 species